rnacentral:rRNA from 1 species
GACAAACGCUGGCGGCGUGCCUAACACAUGCAAGUCGAACGGUUUCCCUUCGGGGAGAUAGUGGCGGACGGGUGAGUAACACGUAGAUAACCUGCCCUACAGUGGGGAAUAACCACUCGAAAGAGUGGCUAAUACCGCAUAAGUUCUCUUUCGUUAGAAGGAGAGGAAACCUUUUCUGUGAAAAGAGAGGGGCUGAAGGAGGGGUCUGCGGCGGAUUAGCUAGUUGGUGGGGUAACGCCUACCAAGGCGACGACCGUAGCUGGUCUGAGAGGACGGCCAGCCACACUGGGACUGAGACACGGCCCAGACUCCUACGGGAGGCAGCAGUGAGGAAUAUUGGACAAUGGGCGAAAGCCUGAUCCAGCAACGCCGCGUGA